rnacentral:rRNA from 1 species
AUUGAACUCUGGCGGCAUGCCUUACACAUGCAAGUCGAACGGCAGCACGGAGCUUGCUCUGGUGGCGAGUGGCGAACGGGUGAGUAAUAUAUCGGAACGUACCCUAGAGUGGGGGAUAACGUAGCGAAAGUUACGCUAAUACCGCAUACGAUCUAAGGAUGAAAGUGGGGGAUCGCAAGACCUCAUGCUCGUGGAGCGGCCGAUAUCUGAUUAGCUAGUUGGUAGGGUAAAAGCCUACCAAGGCAUCGAUCAGUAGCUGGUCUGAGAGGACGACCAGCCACACUGGAACUGAGACACGGUCCAGACUCCUACGGGAGGCAGCAGUGGGGAAUUUUGGACAAUGGGCGAAAGCCUGAUCCAGCAAUGCCGCGUGAGUGAAGAAGGCCUUCGGGUUGUAAAGCUCUUUUGUCAGGGAAGAAACGGUGGGAGCUAAUAUCUCUUGCUAAUGACGGUACCUGAAGAAUAAGCACCGGCUAACUACGUGCCAGCAGCCGCGGUAAUACGUAGGGUGCAAGCGUUAAACGGAAUUACUGGGCGUAAAGCGUGCGCAGGCGGUUUUGUAAGUCUGAUGUGAAAUCCCCGGGCUCAACCUGGGAAUUGCAUUGGAGACUGCAAGGCUAGAAUCUGGCAGAGGGGGGUAGAAUUCCACGUGUAGCAGUGAAAUGCGUAGAUAUGUGGAGGAACACCGAUGGCGAAGGCAGCCCCCUGGGUCAAGAUUGACGCUCAUGCACGAAAGCGUGGGGAGCAAACAGGAUUAGAUACCCUGGUAGUCCACGCCCUAAACGAUGUCUACUAGUUGUCAGGUCUUAAUUGACUUGGUAACGCAGCUAACGCGUGAAGUAGACCGCCUGGGGAGUACGGUCGCAAGAUUAAAACUCAAAGGAAUUGACGGGGACCCGCACAAGCGGUGGAUGAUGUGGAUUAAUUCGAUGCAACGCGAAAAACCUUACCUACCCUUGACAUGGCUGGAAUCCUUGAGAGAUCAGGGAGUGCUCGAAAGAGAACCAGUACACAGGUGCUGCAUGGCUGUCGUCAGCUCGUGUCGUGAGAUGUUGGGUUAAGUCCCGCAACGAGCGCAACCCUUGUCAUUAGUUGCUACGAAAGGGCACUCUAAUGAGACUGCCGGUGACAAACCGGAGGAAGGUGGGGAUGACGUCAAGUCCUCAUGGCCCUUAUGGGUAGGGCUUCACACGUCAUACAAUGGUACAUACAGAGCGCCGCCAACCCGCGAGGGGGAGCUAAUCGCAGAAAGUGUAUCGUAGUCCGGAUUGUAGUCUGCAACUCGACUGCAUGAAGUUGGAAUCGCUAGUAAUCGCGGAUCAGCAUGUCGCGGUGAAUACGUUCCCGGGUCU